AUGUUGGUCAGACUGGACUCGAACUCCCGACCUUAGGUCAUCCGCCCCCUGUAGCCUCCCAAAGUGCUGGGAUUACAGGCAUGAGCCACCACGCCCAGCCUUUUUUUCCUUUUUAAACAGGGUCUCACUCUGUUGCCCAGGCUUGAGUGAAGUGGCAGGAUCUCAGUUCACUGCAACCUCUGCCUCCUGGUCUCAAGCAAUCCUCCUGAGUAGCUGAUACCACAGGCCGCACCACCACACCAGGCUAGUUUUUUACUUUUUUUGUAGAGACGAUGUCUCACUAUGUUGCCCAGGCUUUUCUCGAACUUCUGGGCUCAAGCAAUCCUCCAACCUUGGCCUCCCAAAGUGCUGAGAUUAUAGGUGUGAGCCACCACACCUGGUAAGAGAUUUUUAAUAAGGAGGAAAGGAGGCUGGGUAUUGGGAAGACAACUAAUAAUAUCUGUCUG
rnacentral:lncRNA from 10 species